AACGCACGAGACCUGCGGACCUGCGGAGGGAUCAUUAAUGAGAAACUGCCUCUCGCGGGUAGAUCUCCCACCCUUUGUAAACUUACCUUUGUUGCUUUGGCAGGCCCGUCUCCGGACCGCCGGCUUCGGCUGGCCAGUGCCUGCCAGAGGAUUCUAAAACUCUGUCUGUCAGUGUUGUCUGAGUCUAUAUACAAUCGUUAAAACUUUUAACAACGGAUCUCUAGAUCGGAAGAGCACACG
rnacentral:misc_RNA from 1 species